rnacentral:lncRNA from 1 species
CAUAACAACUCUCUAGGCAGGUGAUGGUGGGUGUUGUUAGCCUCUCUCUGGUGUCAUCCAGAAUCCAUAUCCUUGUUAUGUCUGCUCCACCAUCCUCAUCUUGUAAUUUUUAGUUUUAGGUUUAUCAUUUCAUGGGCUUAAGGUGGCUGCUGCAAUUCCUGGCUUUAUGCACAUGUUUAAGGCUGGAGGGAGCUAGCAAAUGUGCCAUUUUCUGUUUUUCUUUUUUUUUUUUUUUUUUUUGUCAACAAAUAAAUUUUUUCCUGGAAACUCUAAACUGGUAUUUGUUUUUCGACUUGUGGCCCUUAGGUCAGAACCCUGUCACAUGGCUACCCAUUACGGUGAGUCUGGGAAACAAUCCAGCCUGAAGGACUUAGCUCAUAGAUGUCUUCUGAAAUGUGGAAGAAAUACUUUCGUUUGUCAUAAAACCUCAGCAGGAGAUUGGAGUCUGGAAGAGGGAGGGGAGAAGAGGAGGACCUCAGGGAGAUUGUUUUGCUUAUUGGUGUUUAAUUAAAAACCAAACAACUUUUCCUAUUAACUUGAUGCUACUUAUUAAUUGAAAUGAGGAGACUGACUCUGGAUAUUGGGAAAAUUUAUGGGCACAUACAGAGGAAAAGACAUGUGGGGACAUAAUGAGAGGACAGCCAUCUGCAAGCCAAGAAGAGAAUCCUCACCAGAAACCAACUUGACUGGAAUCUUGAUCUUGAACUUCUUGCUUCCA